rnacentral:rRNA from 1 species
GAUGAACGCUGGCGGCGUGCCUAAUACAUGCAAGUCGAACGAAACUUCUUUAUCACCGAGUGCUUGCACUCACCGAUAAAGAGUUGAGUGGCGAACGGGUGAGUAACACGUGGGCAACCUGCCCAAAAGAGGGGGAUAACACUUGGAAACAGGUGCUAAUACCGCAUAACCAUAGUUACCGCAUGGUAACUAUGUAAAAGGUGGCUAUACUACCGCUUUUGGAUGGGCCCGCGGCGCAUUAGCUAGUUGGUAGGGUAAAGGCUUACCAAGGCAAUGAUGCGUAGCCGAAUUGAGAGGUUGAUCGGCCACAUUGGGACUGAGACACGGCCCAAACUCCUACGGGAGGCAGCAGUAGGGAAUCUUCCACAAUGGGCGAAAGCCUGAUGGAGCAACGCCGCGUGGGUGAAGAAGGUCUUCGGAUCGUAAAACCCUGUUGUUAGAGAUGAAAGUGCGUGAGAGUAACUGUUCACGUUUCGACGGUAUCUAACCAGAAAGCCACGGCUAACUACGUG